GCUCUAGUAGUUCAGUUUGUUACAGCAACAGCCUCUACUCACGAGAUCGCAGGUUCGAAACCUGCGUGCAGCA